UUUCGCAAUGCCCGAAAGGGUGACGAAGCGACGCCGCGUGCGGGAAGAAGGCCUUCGGGUUGUAAACCGCUGUCGGGAGUUAAGAAACGCAAGGGUGUUAACAGCAUCCUUGCUUGACUAAGGCUCCGGAGGAAGCCACGGCUAACUCUGUGCCAGCAGCCGCGGUAAUACAGAGGCGGCAAGCGUUGUUCGGAAUUAUUGGGCGUAAAGGGCACGUAGGCGGCUGUGUAAGUCGGUUGUGAAAGCCUUCCGCUCAACGGGAGAACGGCAUCCGAUACUGCAUGGCUUGAGUGCGGGAGGGGAGAGUGGAACUUCUGGUGGAGCGGCGAAAUGCGUAGAUAUCAGAAGGAACACCGGCGGCGAAGGCGACUCUCUGGCCCGUAACUGACGCUGAGUGUGCGAAAGCUAGGGGAGCAAACGGGAUUAGAUACCCCGGUAGUCCUAGCCGUAAACGAUGGGCACUAAGUAGAGGGGUUUU
rnacentral:rRNA from 1 species